AAUGAACGCUAGCGGCAUGCCUAACACAUGCAAGUCGAACGUGGCUAUAUCACUUGUGAUAUAAUUACGUGGCGAACGGGUGAGUAAUACGUGGGAAUCUACCUGUCAGUACGGAAUAGUAUUUGGAAACGAAUAGUAAUACCGUAUAUUCUCUCCGGAGGAAAGAUUUAUCGCUGACAGAUGAGCCCACGUCAGAUUAGGUAGUUGGUGGGGUAACAGCCUACCAAGCCUACGAUCUGUAGUUGGUCUGAGAGGAUGAUCAGCCACACUGGAACUGAGACACGGUCCAGACUCCUACGGGAGGCAGCAGUGAGGAAUAUUGGGCAAUGGGCGAAAGCCUGACCCAGCAAUGCCGCGUGAGUGAUGAAGGCCUUUGGGUUGUAAAGCUCUUUCAGUAGGGAUGAUGAUGACGUUACCUACAAAAGAAGCCCCGGCUAACUCCGUGCCAGCAGCCGCCGUAAUAC
rnacentral:rRNA from 1 species